AGGAAGCACUCUUAUAAAAGGAUAUGCUUAAUUGGUUGGUGAUAAGGCAAAGUUCAAUUCUAUUUGGUCUAUAAGUUCGUUAAUGGACAAUCUUUUGGAUAUUUUUAGUUUGUGAUGGUUAUGUAUGUAAGGAAGGAAGGUAGAUAAGUUUGGAUAAGAGAAUUGUGGGUAAAAGCAUGAGAAAGGUGGAUAAAAGACUAUUCAAAACGUUAGAACCGAAAAUGGAAGAUUGAACCAAUUGGAGAUUCGAAAAGCUUAGUUUGGAACCAAGAAAUAGGAUGUCAGAUGCCAUGAGAAGUAGGAAAGAAUUUCUAUCAAGGAUAUGGAAAAGUGAAGAAUUGUUGGAAUCAAGGAAUAAGGGAGAUCAAAAGAAAGUUUGUGGAAUUUUAGAGGAAGGAAUCACUCGAAUAAAAGGAUUUGCUUAAUUGGUUGGUGAUAAGGCAAAGUUAAAGUCUAUUUGGUCUAUAAGUUCGUUAAUGGACAGUCUUUUGGGUAUUUUUAGUUUGUGAUUGUUUUGUAUGGAUGGAAGGAAGAUAAGUUUGGAUAAGAGAAUUGUGGUUAAAGUAUGAGAAUCAUGGAUAAAAGACUAUUCGCUUUCGUAAACGUUAAAAUCGGAAGUUUGUUCAAAUUGGAGAUUUGAAAAGCUUAUUUUUGAACCAACAAAAAGGAUGUCAUAUGCUAUGAGAAGUGGGAAAGAAUUUGAAU